AAGCGUAAUAGCUCACUGGUCGAGUCGGCCUGCGCGGAAGAUGUAACGGGGCUAAACCAUGCACCGAAGCUGCGGCAGCGAACGUAUCACUUAAAGCGAUUCAGCGGGUUACGAUUGACGGAGCGAAGCGACGUCAAAGCGUAUACAAAGUCGAGUCGGUUUAAGGAUACGUUCGUUGGGUAGGGGAGCGUUCUGUAAGCCUGCGAAGGUGGCCUGUGAGGGUUGCUGGAGGUAUCAGAAGUGCGA
rnacentral:rRNA from 1 species